AGCUUCCUUGAGGAAAAUAGUGCAGAGAACCAAUACCCUUAAACAAGCCUCCCUAAUCAUUGGAAGUUCAUCCCUCAGCAUUACAGAAUCUUGAAACGGGUCUAGUUUUUGGAUAUACUCCAGUUCAUCAUCCGAAAAUGGAAUCGAAGCCUGAGGCCAGUGGAUCCACUCGAAAUACGGAUCCUCCAAACUUUCUGGCAAGCAAAGACCAUGAUCAAUGGGAAUGAGUUCCACCUGACCAAACCCCCCAAUACUAUCAAGCUUCCUCACAAGCAGGUUUCCAGCAUGUCGGUCAGUAUUCAAAAUCCUAAUAUCUAAUAUCCCAAUACGAUGCACAGCAGCAACUGGAAAACUUGACGUCCCAUGAUCGCUGGCAUCAAAAUCAUGGGGUAUAAAUUGCUGAAAGGAAGCAAUCUUGCUCACAGGCUGCUUGUUUUGCGGUUUUUUGGCAUUUACCCCAUUGUUCACAUUAAAGAUUGGGUGAGUAAUCUUCACAAGUGCAGUGGGAGGAACGUUAGCAAAAUGAUCAUAAUCGAGUAGAUAAGCCGCAACUUCUCUGAAACCUGUUUCCCCAACACGAAUAGAACGUUUCAGGCCUGGUUGCCCGAGAGCUUUACCAACAAAACCCUUCGGGUUAUUCGGAGCAAAAGGCUCUUCAUCUGUAGGCUUGACAAUAACAACACUUUCACCUCUUUUGUUUCUAAAGUAGUACGCACCUCCAAGCCCACCAUGAACAGGAAGUGGAUCAACCCCAAGCUUCAUCCCCUUGACAAUUUCUUUAACCAGUUGUUUUGUCUUGACAAAGACUUUAGAAUGACCCAAUAUCUCAAUUGGACCACUCCGAUCUCUCUGAUCAAGAUCACCCCCACGAGGAGAGAGACAAGGAGUUGACGAACUUCUAUGGAUCAAGUUUCUGGUAAGAAGAAGAGGAGAAU
rnacentral:lncRNA from 1 species